AAUAUUGCACAAAGGGGGAAACCCUGAUGCAGCGACGCCGCGUGAUUGAAGAAGAAUUUCGGUAUGUAAAGCUCUAGCAGCAGGGAAGAAAAUGACGGUACCUUACUAAGAAGCUCCGGCUAUCUACGUGCCAUCAGCCGCGGUAAUACGUAGGGGGCGAGCGUUAUCCGGAUUUACUGGGUGUAAAGGGAGCGUAGGUGGUGCGACAAGUCAGAUGUGAAAGCCCGGGGCUCAACCCCGGGAUUGCAUUUGAAACUGUCGUGCUAGAGUGCAGGAGAGGUAAGUGGAAUUCCUAGUGUAGCGGUGAAAUGCGUAGAUAUUAGGAGGAACACCAGUGGCGAAGGCGGCUUACUGGACUGUAACUGACACUGAGGCUCGAAAGCGUGGGGAGCAAAC
rnacentral:rRNA from 1 species